rnacentral:rRNA from 1 species
GGAUGAAUAUUGGUCAAUGGCCGAGAGGCUGAACCAGCCAAGUCGCGUGAGGGAUGAAGGUUCUAUGGAUCGUAAACCUCUUUUAUAAGGGAAUAAAGUGCGGGACGUGUCCCGUUUUGUAUGUACCUUAUGAAUAAGGAUCGGCUAACUCCGUGCCAGCAGCCGCGGUAAUACGGAGGAUCCGAGCGUUAUCCGGAUUUAUUGGGUUUAAAGGGUGCGUAGGCGGCCUUUUAAGUCAGCGGUGAAAGUCUGUGGCUCAACCAUAGAAUUGCCGUUGAAACUGGGGGGCUUGAGUAUGUUUGAGGCAGGCGGAAUGCGUGGUGUAGCGGUGAAAUGCAUAGAUAUCACGCAGAACCCCGAUUGCGAAGGCAGCCUGCCAAGCCAUUACUGACGCUGAUGCACGAAAGCGU